ensembl:lncRNA
GGGGAACAGAAUGUGUCUGAAGGCUCAGGAAGGUGUUGAAGUGUCUUUGCUCAACUUCAGACAACACGGAUUAAGGCCAUGGGGGUUCUUGAUUGACAGCACCAGCAGGACAAUGGGGGGUCUAAGUGCCCUCUGAGCCAACAGACCUGAGGAGGGAGAGGUACACCUGCUUCUCUGGAUGAAAAAUUGGAGAAAAUUAUUUCCUUUGCAAUCUUGAUGCUUAUCUUUUGACUUCGUUCACUGCAUUGUUAAUUAGAGGGCUGGAAUUUUCAGAACAGCGGCAUGCCACCUGCUAGAAACCCCUAUUGGUCUCGGUAGCUUCAGAAAGCAGGAAGAAAACCCAGGAGAAUUUUUUUUUUAAGAAAGACAAGAUCAAAGAAAGCAAAAACUGAG